ACAUGAAUUCUCCGUCAGGUUCAUCUUGGCCGCAACUCCCUGUAGCGCCUAAUCGCGGGAAAUUUGGAUCGGAGAUGGAUAGAUUGAGCGCCGAGGUUGGAGGAUUGGAAGCUUCAUUGCUUCGAAUAGUCAAUGAUCACUAGUACGCCUCUCUCAAGGUUCGGGAAAACUCCGAGAAGGCGAAGAAAGAUGCUACUCAGAAAGCGGUGUGUGUUUCGGAUCUUUUAGUCGAUGCUGUGAAUAGUGGAGUUCAAGAAUCGUUUGUAAAUUAGAAGUUGAUUGAACUCGAAAUUAGGGCAUUAGCGAUUACGAUUGCUCGAUUUACAAAGCAGAUCGAUCAAUGCCUCGUCGCCACUCACGCUCUGAACGCCGAGGUCAAGGUGGCUGUUGACAAAUUUCGGCCAUUAUCUCAUCUCCUGGCGUUCUGGAGGAGUCUGAUUUUGUUUUACAUCACAAGAAAGAGGCCCAGGAUUGAGCCGAACCCGCUGAUGAUUCUGAUGGGAAUGCUUUCUACGUUAAUUCUGGAUUUAUCUGGGACCUCAACAGCACGGAAGAUUGAAUUUGGAGAAUACUCACUCUGAGGUACACAUUAACCUUCAUUGCUAUUGAAUGAUGCAUCUUAUUCUGAUUGCCCAUGAAUCUAAUUUAUUUAAAGAUUCUAAAACUAAG